CUUACAUUCUAAAUAAAUAUAAUUGUUUUUUGAUUCAUGUUUUGUCUAAUUUUUGUAAUCUAAAAUGAAAAUAAGAAUUUAAAAAUAAACGAAAACAAAUCUUACAAAACAGCUAGUUUCUUGAACUAUAGAGCAACAAAACCACUGUAUUAUCUAAUGAAUCAUAUCUGCUUGUGGUCUCAUAUAUGACUCACGAAAAAACUGGUCUACUCAAUUUAAGAUUAAUUGAUUAUUGUGCUCUGCAAGUUAUUAAACGGAAAUACCUUACGAGGGAAAUUAACUACUCGAAAACUAACCAGAAGAAGUCAUCAGCUAAAAGUCCCACUCUAAAAGAAAGUUUUCAUAUCUAGAAGUGACGCGACUUUAAACUCAUAAAAGAAGGGAGGCGAAUCGCAAAGCUAAACGCAACUCUCAGAGCCUCAUAAAUUAUAUCCUACAACGGGACUGAAGAAAUAUUAUAGUGAAAAAUCACAAUACGUAAUUAGAUCUUGAAAAUGCGGCUUGGGUUGGUAGAGUUUUCUGAGCAACUAAAUAUCUCUCUACCACUUAAGGUUUGCUUUAUUAAAAGGUGAUGUUCAAAGUAUCUCUGCACUAAAUCUGCCGGUCUUAAGGGCAUAUAUCCACUUGUAAGUCAGUAAAAAAACGUUUUUUGUUUUGUUUUUGAAAAUAAAUUUUAUUUAAUAUGUA